rnacentral:rRNA from 1 species
UACGUAGGUGGCAAGCGUUGUCCGGAAUUAUUGGGCGUAAAGCGCGCGCAGGCGGUCCUUUAAGUCUGAUGUGAAAGCCCACGGCUCAACCGUGGAGGGUCAUUGGAAACUGGGGGACUUGAGUGCAGAAGAGGAGAGUGGAAUUCCACGUGUAGCGGUGAAAUGCGUAGAGAUGUGGAGGAACACCAGUGGCGAAGGCGGCUCACUGGCCCGAUACUGACGCUGAGGCACGAAAGCGUGGGGAGCAAACAGG